rnacentral:piRNA from 1 species
UAGAAAGUACACAUUGGCUCUGCAGCUGA